rnacentral:rRNA from 1 species
AUUGAACGCUGGCGGCAGGCCUAACACAUGCAAGUCGAGCGGUAACACAGAGGAGCUUGCUCCUUGGGUGACGAGCGGCGGACGGGUGAGUAAUGCCUGGGGAUCUGCCCGAUAGAGGGGGAUAACUACGGGAAACUGUAGCUAAUACCGCAUAGCGUCUACGGACCAAAGUGGGGGCUCUUCGGACCUCAUGCUAUCGGAUGAACCCAGGUGGGAUUAGCUAGUUGGUGAGGUAAUGGCUCACCAAGGCGACGAUCUCUAACUGGUUUGAGAGAAUGACCAGUCACACUGGAACUGAGACACGGUCCAGACUCCUACGGGAGGCAGCAGUGGGGAAUAUUGCACAAUGGGCGCAAGCCUGAUGCAGCCAUGCCGCGUGUGUGAAGAAGGCCUUCGGGUUGUAAAGCACUUUCAGCGGGGAGGAAGGGUUACUAGCUAAUACCUAGUGGCAUUGACGUUACUCGCAGAAGAAGCACCGGCUAACUCCGUGCCAGCCGCCGCCGUAAUAC